UCUACGGGAGGCAGCAGUGGGGAAUAUUGCACAAUGGGGGGAACCCUGAUGCAGCAAUGCCGCGUGAAGGAUGAAGGUUUUCGGAUUGUAAACUUCUUUUGUACGGGACGAAGAAAGUGACGGUACCGUAAGAAUAAGCCACGGCUAACUACGUGCCAGCAGCCGCGGUAAUACGUAGGUGGCAAGCGUUAUCCGGAUUUACUGGGUGUAAAGGGCGAGUAGGCGGGAUUGCAAGUCAGAUGUGAAAACUAUGGGCUCAACCGAUAGAGUGCAUUUGAAAAUGCAGUUCUUGAGUGAUGGAGAGGCAGGCGGAAUUCCCGGUGUAGCGGUGGAAUGCAUAGAUAUCACACAGAACACCGAUUGCGAAGGCAUCUCACGAAUCCGCGAUUGACGCUGAUGCACGAAAGCGUGGGUAUCAAACAGGAUUAGAUACCCUAGUAGUC
rnacentral:rRNA from 1 species